rnacentral:lncRNA from 1 species
CUACCGCGACUGCGGCUGCGUCCUCAGCCUUUAGUGGUUAUAGCUGGUGGUACUAGUGGUCGUCCAUCCCGACCAGCAGCAUGUGUCAUUACCAUCUGUGAGAGAAUAGAAUAACAUAAGCUUAGUACUCUGGAUCAACAAAUUCGCACGACAAGAAUUUUAAGAAUAUGAAGUUUUACCUAAAGGUUCUACAGCCUCUCGAGGAUAAAUAUAGACAUCUCCAUACCGGUCCGCGAGACUCUACUAAACCUACUUAUGACUCGUGAGACCUCUGUAACCUAGGCUCUGAUACCAACUUAUCACGACCCUAAACCCGAUCGGUUGUGAUGGUGCCUCUCGUGAAGACAAGGUCAGCCGACACAGUCCAAAUUCAUUUUUAAGCAAUUAAAAUAAUACAAAUUAAGUCAUUAACAUAAUUAAAUCCCAAAAAAGAAACACUCAGAUAGUAUAAUUUGCGAAAAAAAUAACACUGCCGACAUUUGGGUGUCACCAGUCAUGAGCACCUACUAACCGAUUAAACACAAGAAAAGUCUACAUGGUCUAUUACAGAACUAAACAAGAGAAAAUAAGAUGGGGGAGAAGCACUGUGCUGCAAACGCUGAGCAUCUACCUAGUGAAUCUCUGAAUCCGCCUGAGUUGGAAGAAAUCAACACUCACUAGCGGGACCUGUAGCGACUGAAUAUGCGCACAGGGUGCAGGGAGUAAAGUGAGUACUCCAAAUCAGUGAGUAAUAAUAAUAAACGAAGACUAAGUAAUAAGAAAUCACAUAAAAAUACAACGACAUGCUAUAAAGAGGCAGAGUAAAACCAGUAAAGCGCAAUAAAACGAUAAAUAUCAUAAAAACACCUUAGUAAACAACACUGCUGACAUUUGGGUGUCACCAGUCAUGAGCACCUACUAAUCGAUUAAACACAAGAAAAGUCUACAUGGUCUAUUACAGAACUAAACAAGAGAAAAUAAGAUGGGGGAGAAGCACUGUGCUGCAAAUGCUGAGCAUCUACCUAGUGAAUCUCUGAAUCCGCCUGAGUUGGAAGAAAUCAACACUCACUAGCGGGACCUGUAGCGACUGAAUAUGCGCACAGGGUGCAGGGAGUAAAGUGAGUACUCCAAAUCAGUGAGUAAUAAUAAUAAACGAAGACUAAGUAAUAAGAAAUCACAUAAAAAUACAACGACAUGCUAUAAAGAGGCAGAGUAAAACCAGUAAAGCGCAAUAAAACGAUAAAUAUCAUAAAAACACCUUAGUUCAGUUUAAGCUUCUAAAAAUACCUUUUUAACAGUUAAACAAGUAAAUGACAGGCAGCUACAAAAGAUAAACACAUAAAAACUGCCCCUUGGGCAUAAUGUCAACAAAAUCAUCCCCUCAAGCAAUAACAUGGUACAACACUAGCCCCUCGGGCUAUAUCUCAUAUCACAAUGGAUACCCGCGCUCAAUAGGGCAUACUGACUCCAGGAGGGACCAUUUACGGCCUAAGCAAUAUCAAGCCAUCUCAUGGCAUAAUCACUAGGCUCUCGACCUCAUAUCAAGCCACCUUAUGGCGUACAGCUCAGGCCCUCGACCUCAUAGUCAUAAUCAAUGUAUCACUGUUAUGGCAUGCAACCUGACCCAAAAGUAUCCUCACAACACGGGCCAUUGGCUUUACUCAGACAGGAUCUCAUAAGUCACUAAGGCAAUAGUAAAACAUAAUGCUCAACCCAAUUAUCAUUUAAAAAUGUCAUUUAAUAUGGUAAAACAGAGUAAACAUGGCUGAAUUAUGAAAACAGUAGAAUAUAGCAUGACUGAGUACAGGUACAUAAUCAAAUCAGUGGGGAAAUACCAGUAAAACUCCCAUAAGGGUCCAAAUAGUCUGCACGAAGCCCAAAUAUGGCAUUCAGCCCAAAACAUGAUGAUAGAAAAUUGUUUUCAAUCAAAUAUGCGCUAAAAUAGUCAUUCGGGACGCACUAAGUCACAAUCCUUAAAGGUGCACAAUCUCACGCCCAUCAUCUAGCGUGCUUGGCACCUCAACAUAGUACAAUGAUAUGAAAUCUAAGGUUUCAUACCCUCUGGACAACACUUACAAUCAUUCCUCACUUCAAUCCGGUCCAAACUCUAGCCUGGGACGCCUUUGCCCCUUGAAUCGGCCUCUGAAUGCUCCAAAUCUAGCAAAAAUCAGUAUAUAACCAUCAAAAUGUGCUAAGGGAACAAAGCCCACUCAAAAAUAAUCAAAAUACCACGCAAAUACCGAAAUUAACCAAACCCGAUCCUCGGGUCCACGUCUCGGAAUUUGAUAAAUUUUACAUCAUUAAACUCAUUAUCUCCCCACGAGUUUAUACAUAUCAAAAGUCCCAAAAUCCGACCACAAAUGACCCCUUAAACCCUUGCUCAAAGUCUCCAAUUCUCAAGCCCUAGUUUCCCAAUUUUUAACCUUUAUUUUUCAUUAACUAUAGCUCUAAUCCGUAAAAUAAUACCAUAGGAUUGAUUAUUAGGUUAAAAAAUCUUACCUCCAGACAUUAUCCCUUGAAUCCCUCUUCAAAAUCUCCUAAAAAGCUCCAAACCCGACUUGAAAUGGUGAAGAACAACUCAAAAAUCGUGAAGGAAAUAUUUUAUACUUUUUGGCCAACAGUUUUCGUACCUCCAGCCCUUUUUCCACUUCUGCAGUCCGUUUCUACGGCCAAAACCACCGCAUCUGUGAUUUUCACUUAAAUGACCAAUACCACAUCUACGGUUAAAAUCUCGCACUUGUGCUACGGCAGGUGCGCCCUCUUUGCCGCUUCUGCAGUUCUAGCUGCUUGCCUACUUGGCCGCUUCUGUGGCUGCCUUCCACUUCUACGGGCAUUGCACCUGCGACCUCCCAAUUGCAGGUGCGGUUAUGACAGCAGCAAAAUGCUUCAGCUCUCAAACUCAACUCUAUACCUUCCGUCAACCAUCCGAAUUCACCUCGAGGCCCUCGAGACCUUAUUCAAAAGCACCAACAAGCCAUAUACCACCCUUCUAACUUAUAUCAAUCCUCAAAACACCUCGAAUAACAUCGAAUCAACCAAAACACUUCGGAUUCAAGCAUAGGGUUAAUAGAAGAAGUUAAAAAUGUCAAACCUCAACCGAAAAUUGGACAGAACAAACUCCCAGCAACAUUCUCCCAACACUCACGCAACACAAUACUCCCAGCAAGGUGAGGUCCAAUCAAUUUUUUGCUCACCUCAAACAUUAGUGUAACUUAAUAGAAGAAGUUAAAAAUGUCAGUCCUAAUAAAAGAAGCCAACUGAAAAGGAGCAUGUAAACCUCCAACAACGGUUACUAAUUGUCAUUCAACAGGUUCAAAUUUUUACAGUUUCAGAACAUAUCUAUUAGCAAAAAUAGCUGAAAAUAUCAAAAGAAGCUCUGAAAUGGGGGGAGGGAUUCAGCAACAAUAACAGCACCUCCACAGACCAGCCAAAUAAAUCCAAACCUCAACCGAAAAUUGGACAGAACAAACCUAAAAUGCCGAAAUUCAAAACCCAACUACAAACUUUAACUCGAGAUUUAAUUCGGACUUCUUUUUUUGAACCAGAAAUCAAGAGAAAGAAACAAGGCUAGAAAGCUUUCCGUUUCAGUAAUUUUUGGCAAAAAUGAACUCGAAUGAGAGCUGAAACUCAAGCCAUUUUUUAAUCUUUUCUGAAAAAAACAAGAAAAAACAGACUGAAAAUGGCUUCAAGAAAAGUGACAACUCAAAACCCUAAAUAUUUUACUCGACUAUAUUCUGAAGAUUUUUCUCCGAUUUUUCCUUUCUGAUUUUCUCCUUCUAGCACAUAGGACUUACCUCAUAUAUAUAGCCUUCAAAAAUUCUCCCGAAUAUGCUAAACAGUCCGAAAAUCUCUCAAGUUUUUGAACAAUUUUGGGACAAAUGGGGGGCGUGGAUUGGUUCGCAUCUACCACGGCUCCUAUUCAUCCAACAAUUGUCCUUUUUUAUACAGAAAUCCGCAAUUUAGAAUAGAAUAUUCGAAUUCCUUCUGACAAAAACCUUUAGGAAUCAGAUGUCGUGGAGGGGGGGGGACCAAUUUGAGCGAACUCGGGUGAGUUGAAAGCGAGUUGGGGCCGAAUCAGUUGAAGAACAAGAUGAAUAGUGUAAAGGGAUGCCGCAUUCUCUGAUAUGUUAGGGUUAG